UACGUAGGGCGCAAGCGUUGUCCGGAAUUAUUGGGCGUAAAGAGCUCGUAGGCGGUGUGUCACGUCGGCCGUGAAAACCUGCAGCUUAACUGUGGGCGUGCGGUCGAUACGGGCAUCACUGGAGUUCGGCAGGGGAGACUGGAAUUCCUGGUGUAGCGGUGAAAUGCGCAGAUAUCGGGAGGAACACCAAUUGCGAAGGCAGCUUGCUGGGACGGUACUGACGCUGAGGCGCGAAAGCGUGGGGAGCAAACAGG
rnacentral:rRNA from 1 species